UCUCCUGCAGCUCAGCCCGCAGGCCUUUCCCGCUCUCCACCGGCCACCCUCUGCCUCUGCUAGGGAGGCCGCACCCCUGCGCCCGGGUGGGUGGGCCCCGGGUCCCUGCAGGCCACCCGGCAUGGCACCGGGGAGGCCGAGGCUGUGGGACCCGCUGGGGUCGAGAUCUCCGUCCGCCGGAGCUGGACGAGCUAGACGCACGUUCCCAGUGAGGUCUGCUGGCCGGGGGCCGAGCUGCCCCGUGAGGGAUGAGGUGAAGAGAUGCCAGGGACUUGUGCUCCAGGAUUGAUGAUGGUGUCGAGAACUGCUUUUCUCUCCGCUUCCAGACUUGUUCAAAAUUCUCCACGAUGACUUUUUAAAGGCAUUUGAAUGACUGUUUUCUGCCAAGUUAUGCCUUUAUCAACUCCAGAGCCCAACAGACCCACAGCUUAUUUCUCCUAUCUACCCAGGAGAAAUAAGUGCCCGGUCCACGCAGCCUGGAACCAGGAGGUUCGGAGCAUCUGUGUCCUCUGAGGCCCAUCAGCAGACCAAUGAGGCACAUCCACGCAGCCAAGCACUACUCGACAGUCCAAGAGGACAGGCCCCCGGUUCGUGCUCCGGUGCUAAGGACUCUCAGAAGCUCCGUGCUGAGCAGAAGAAGCCAGGUGCGAGAGAGAAUUUUCCUAGUGGUCCAUUUCCACAAAGUUCAAGAGCGGAUCAGGUUUAUCUGCUGCGGUCAAUGGGUUCACUAGGAAGGAGCACGGGACUCUGGGCUGAAGGAAGCCUUCUCUGUCUUGAGCUGGCUGGUGUGACAAAGGUGUGUCAACGGGAAAGAGGCCAUGCAGUUGUCACGUAAGAGCUGGAUAUUCCACUGUGUGUAAACUGUCCUUGAA